rnacentral:lncRNA from 1 species
CUCAUGUAUCGACAGCAGUAAUUAUUUUACUACUAGCCCAAGUUCUUUAAGGACUCGAUGUCAACUUCAUCUGGAGGUUGGCAGCAUCUUGUUUGAAUUGCAAUAUUGAGAGGACAAUUGGUGGUCUGCAGGAGUUUGAUGCAUCUAGGAAUACUUUUGCUGUUAUUCUGGUGGUUCAGUUCAAUGCUGCAUAACCGGUUGAUAGAAACAUUUCAAAUUAUUUGUCACUUUUUAAUUCCUUAG